rfam:Helianthus annuus linkage group 1, whole genome shotgun sequence.
GUUUAAUUAUUACUAUAUAUUAAUAAUUGGAACGAUACAGAGAAGAUUAGCAUGGCCUCUGCGCAAGGAUAACACGUACAAAUCAAGAAAUGGUCCAAAUUAUU